UACGUAGGGGGCUAGCGUUGUCCGGAAUCAUUGGGCGUAAAGAGCGCGUAGGCGGCUAGAUAAGUCCGGUGUGAAAGUCACAGGCUCAACCUGUGAAUGCCGCUGGAAACUGUCUGGCUAGAGUCCGGAAGGGGCGAGUGGAAUUCCUGGUGUAGCGGUGAAAUGCGCAGAGUAUCAGGAGGAACACCAAUGGCGAAGGCAGCUCGCUGGGACGGUACUGACGCUGAGGCGCGAAAGCGUGGGGAGCAAACAGG
rnacentral:rRNA from 1 species